AUAAAACUUGAAACUUACAAAAAUACAAUAUCUGUUAUAUUUAAGAUUUUUCAUGUAAUAUAUCGUCUCGUAUUAAUAUAUUU
rnacentral:sRNA from 1 species